AUUGAACGCUGGCGGCAGGCCUAACACAUGCAAGUCGAGCGGAUGAAGGGAGCUUGCUCCUGGAUUCAGCGGCGGACGGGUGAGUAAUGCCUAUGAAUCUGCCUGGUAGUGGGGGAUAACGUCCGGAAACGGGCGCUAAUACCGCAUACGUCCUGAGGGAGCAAGUGGGGGAUCUUCGGACCUCACGCUCUCAGAUGAGCCUAGGUCGGAUUAGCUAGUUGGUGGGGUAAAGGCCUACCAAGGCGACGAUCCGUAACUGGUCUGAGAGGAUGAUCAGUCACACUGGAACUGAGACACGGUCCAGACGCCUAAGGGAGGCAGCAGUGGGGAAUAGUGGACAAUGGGCGAAAGCCUGAUCCAGCCAGGCCGCGUGUGUGAAGAAGGUCUUCGGAUUGUAAAGCACUUUAAGUGGGGAGGAAGGGCAGUAAGUUAAUACCUUGCUGGUUUGACGGUACCAACAGAAUAAGCACCGGCUAACUUCGUG
rnacentral:rRNA from 1 species